rnacentral:lncRNA from 1 species
UUCCGCUUCGGCUCUGGGACUGUUGCCAUCUCUAUCAGUGAACAAGCUCUGGAAUGUACCUGAGAAAUGAUAUGCAUGCAGAGAUUAGUUUUUUUUUUUUUUUUUGUCUUUUUUUUUUCACGGCAUUUCUUUUGAAAAUAAAUAUGCUAUGAUGCAAAUGAUGCAGACUGGACUGGCUGGUUGCAUCUCUGAAUCACAAGGUCGAUGCUUCGGUCUAAACUCGGAACCCAAAUCCAACUUAAAAACUCAAGGUCAACUGAGACACUGUCGUCUGAA